GCGCAGAUAUCAGGUGGAACACCAGUGGCGAAGGCGGUUCUCUGGUCAUUUCCUGACGCUGAGAAGCGAAAGCGUGGGGAGCAAACAGGCUUAGAUACCCUGGUAGUCCACGCCGUAAACGGUGGGCACUAGGUGUGGGACUCAUUCCACGAGUUCCGUGCCGUAGCUAACGCAUUAAGUGCCCCGCCUGGGGAGUACGGCCGCAAGGCUAAAACUCAAAGGAAUUGACGGGGGGCCCGCACAAGCGGCGGAGCAUGCGGAUUAAUUCGAUGCAACGCGAAGAACCUUACCUGGGUUUGACAUAUGCCGGAAAGCUGCAGAGAUGUAGCCCCCGCAAGGUCGGUAUACAGGUGGUGCAUGGCUGUCGUCAGCUCGUGUCGUGAGAUGUUGGGUUAAGUCCCGCAACGAGCGCAACCCUCGUCCUAUGUUGCCAGCGGAUAAUGCCGGGGACUCAUAGGAGACUGCCGGGGUCACCUCGGAGGAAGGUGGGGAUGACGUCAAGUCAUCAUGCCCCUUAUGUCCAGGGCUUCACGCAUGCUACAAUGGCUGGUACAAAGAGCUGCGAGACCGCAAGGUUAA
rnacentral:rRNA from 1 species